CUGGGACAGUACAGAGCAGGAUAUGUGGAAGAUAACAUCUGAAACCUUUCUUAAUCCAAGCAAAAGCAAACACAACCAUCUCUACAGACUCACAGAAAAUUGUGAGACCUCUGCUACCCACAGUAGAUGACUUUCAACCUCACUGGGCUUAACCACUGGGCGAUUUUGACCUGGAGGUUGUUGAACAGUGCCCAGCCGGCUGAUUAAGUUCCAGAACUUCUAGCUGGAUGGUAAGAAGAUGAAUGAAGGAAACCUCUUGCCUGACAGUAUUUAAUACCAAAUUAUUAUUAUAUACUGUUUAACUGGUGCUGGAUGAAGGAUGUGCGGGGACUUGCAGCAACCUUACCAAAAAUAAAUUCUGACUACUGCUGCAUCAGUCAGACAUUGGCUUGGCUGGAAUCAAGGUACACUGAAUCAUACUUUAAUUAAUAUGUUCUUACGUCAGAAACAAGGAAGCUUAUGUGAUAGACCAAAAUUAGAUAAGAAGUUGGAACAAAUAUUUUCAAGGCUGGAAGGACAUCAAAUAUUAUGAGUCUGACUUUGACAGAGAGCAAGAGCAAUAGUCCAGAUAUCCCCUGUGUAUAAUAUUUUGCCAACAAAAAGACAAUUGAUGCUACUGAUCCCAAGAUUAUCCACCAGCAGCCUUGCUGAAAUCAAGAUAGUUAGAACAAAUAGAGACACAAGACAAAGCAGCUGCAACUUACCAACAACCACUUCCUUCUAUUCCAUGUGGUGUUUUACAUUCUCAAAUGUAGUUUCUCUGCUUGCAAUUGCAAAACACUAUAACUUUAAAUUAAAUUAGGUGUUUUGAAUAAACAUUUGAUUUAAUAAGACAGCUAUUAUACAUUAGCUCUCACUGGUUAUUAAAGCUUGUCCUCUAACUCAAAAUGACAUAAGCUAUAAAUAUAUAAUUGUUUCCUUAUUAACACAUUAAGUUUGACAGGAACUACAAGGCUUAAUAUUAACGUUUAACAAGA